rnacentral:rRNA from 1 species
UACAGAGGUCUCAAGCGUUGUUCGGAUUCAUUGGGCGUAAAGGGUGCGUAGGCGGCUUUGUAAGUCAGUGGUGAAAUACGGUAGCUUAACUAUCGAGGUGCCAUUGAUACUGCAGAGCUUGAGUACAGAUGAGGUAGGCGGAAUUGACGGUGUAGCGGUGAAAUGCUUAGAUAUCGUCAAGAACACCGAUAGUGAAGACAGCUUACUAGACUUCAACUGACGCUGAGGCACGAAAGUGUGGGGAUCAAACAGG